rnacentral:rRNA from 1 species
CUUAAAGGAAUUGACGGGGACCCGCACAAGCGGUGGAUGAUGUGGUUUAAUUCGAUGCAACGCGAAAAACCUUACCUACCCUUGACAUGUCUGGAAUUCCGCAGAGAUGAGGAAGUGCUCGAAAGAGAACCAGAACACAGGUGCUGCAUGGCCGUCGUCAGCUCGUGUCGUGAGAUGUUGGGUUAAGUCCCGCAACGAGCGCAACCCUUGUCAUUAGUUGCUACGAAAGGGCACUCUAAUGAGACUGCCGGUGACAAACCGGAGGAAGGUGGGGAUGACGUCAGGUCCUCAUGGCCCUUAUGGGUAGGGCUACACACGUCAUACAAUGGCCGGUACAGAGGGCUGCCAACCCGCGAGGGGGAGCUAAUCCCAGAAAACCGGUCGUAGUCCGGAUCGCAGUCUGCAACUCGACUGCGUGAAGUCGGAAUCGCUAGUAAUCGCGGAUCAGCUUGCCGCGGUGAAUACGUUCCCGGGUCUUGUACACACCGCCCGUCACACCAUGGGGAACCGGGUUCUUGCCAAGAAGUAGUUAGCCUAACCCGCAAGGGAGGGCCGAUUACCACGGCAGGGUUCGUGACUGGGGUUGAAGUCUUACCANGGUAGCCCGUUNUCGGAAAGGUGCCGCUUGGAUCAACUUCCNUUUUUGGAAAAAGCACUUCCAAUUUAAAGCCGCUNACACUUAUUCGGCUGGUGGGU